rnacentral:rRNA from 1 species
UACGUAGGGUGCGAGCGUUAAUCGGAAUUACUGGGCGUAAAGCGUGCGCAGGCGGUCCGCAAAGCCUGAUGUGAAAGCCCCGGGCUCAACCUGGGAACUGCAUUGGAAACUAACGGGCUCGAGUGUGGCAGAGGGGGGUGGAAUUCCACGUGUAGCAGUGAAAUGCGUAGAGAUGUGGAGGAACACCGAUGGCGAAGGCAGCCCCCUGGGCUAACACUGACGCUCAGGCACGAAAGCGUGGGGAGCAAACAGG